GAGGGGAUAGCUCAGUGGUAGAGUGCCUACCUAACAUGCACAAGGUCCUGGGUUCAAUCCCCAGUACCCCCA
rfam:Camelus ferus unplaced genomic scaffold scaffold230, whole genome shotgun sequence.